rnacentral:lncRNA from 1 species
UUACUUUUUCUUUUCUUCCCAAGUUUUCUUUCUUUACCACGCUUCUUUCUUCUUCUCACUUUGCUCUUCUUCUACUCGGUUGCAACUUCCGCCACCAUAUUAUUGUCCCACCACCAUGAAUCGGCCCUCAGUCAUCGGGCCCACUAGCCUAGCGACCCAAAUCAGUGCUUGAGACAUCUAAGAGGUAUCAUUUAUUGAUUUUUAUUUGUUGGAUUGUUAUCGGAUUUAUGGGGAAUAUUGUGUGAAAUGUAAAUUGGGUUAUUUGUUUACCAUUAAUUCGUUUAUUAAGUAGCUAUCAAUUUAUUUAUUGGGUUAUAGGGAAAUAUCGUAGAUCUACAGUAAAGUUAAAGUUCAAACUCAAUUGAAAAUGUUGCAUGCUCAAAAAUAUUAUAAUGUUUUGUUUCUUUAACUUCUGAUUAAAAUUGUGCUUUAACCAAUUUAUUAGAUGUAAUCUUUUUCUGGUUAAAAUGUGCUUUGAAUCUUUAGAACUUCUUGCCCCAAAUCUAAUAAUGUUCAGCCAUUACAAAUUAUGUCCUUGUGCAGUCCCAGAUCUGGUAUCUAGUUGUGAAGAGGAAGAAAUCUGCUGCUUCUCAAAAGAUGUCUAACGGGGUAAAUGGAACAAAUGGACAUAAUGGAAAUGGAGCAAGGGUAUAAAAAAGUUGGGUUGUCAAUUUGCUCGUGUCUUUGAUAUUUUUGUGCUGUUGUAUCUCUCUGUACUUUAAUAUUGAUGGUGAUGAUGUUAAGUUGCUUGUACUGGGGAGAGUUUUCCCCCUUUUUCAUUUCUGUUGGAACAUUUAUAUAUAUUUGUUGUUUCUUUGUUAUUACAUCCAAAUUUUAUCAGUGACUAUCCCUGUAUGUAUAUUUCUGUUUGUCAUAACUAGAACAAAAAAUGACUAAUUCAAACAAUCCCUCAAAUUCAAGCAAUUCCUAAAAGUUGUGAUUUUGUUGUUCGAAUUUCAUGAUGAUAAUACCAUGGAGCUUAGAUAUCAAUGUUUGUUCGAGAGAUUGAAUUGGAUGCCGUGUUUUCACGAUUUUUGCACAGUUUAAGAUCGUUUGGUUUAUUCUAGAUUUAAACUGGGUAUGCUUGUUAUGAAAUUUAUGUUGAAGGCAGGGCUAUAGUUGGAUGUCGUUACUGAUUUGCAGUGUGGAGUAAAAAAUCUAGAUUUUUAUUUGUAAACCUUGUUAGGUAGAUGUUCAUUAAAAGCUAUUCAGUGAUUGUUUAUCAUUUGAGCUGUCUUUGACAGGCACUUACCUCUUCUUUGUAGUGUAGGUAAGUCAUGGUUAAGCAGAACACCCCUCUCAAACACACUAAAAAUAAAUGAAUAGUAACAUUGCUUGAUUGCUCAUCAUAAGUUUCUCUCUUUCUGUUAUCAGCCUGCAGGGGAGAAUUAUGCUCAUCCAAAUAUAUGUUUCUUCCACGUGCUUUUCAAGGUCAUUUAUUAUCUUCUUUUGUGAUGUUAUUUCUAUAUGCAAAUUUUACUAGUGGAUAACAUUAAAUUCUUCCAUUUGGCAGGCUACAGCUUUGGCAUUUUACAUACUUUCAGCUCUACUUUUUGAUAGCUUUGUCAUUAUUUUUGUUUUUACCGUGCUUCUAGCUGCUCUUGAUUUUUGGGUAGUCAAGAAUGUGAGUGGACACAUCUUGAUAGGAUUACGAUGGUGAAAUGAAAUAAACAAAGAGUGUGAGAGUGUGUGGAAAUUUGAAUGUCUUGAUGAGGAGGUGGG